AGGACGAACGCUGGCGGCGUGCUUAACACAUGCAAGUCGAGCGGAAAGGCCCUUCGGGGUACUCGAGCGGCGAACGGGUGAGUAACACGUGAGCAACCUGCCCCUGGCUCUGGGAUAGCCUCCGGAAACGGGGAUUAAUACCGGAUAUUCACUGUCUCCUGCAUGGGGGGUGAUGGAAAGUUUUUCGGCUAGGGUGGGGCUCGCGGCCUAUCAGCUUGUUGGGGGGGUGACGGCCCACCAAGGCGACGAC
rnacentral:rRNA from 1 species